rfam:Octopus bimaculoides Scaffold216252_contig_7, whole genome shotgun sequence.
UGUGGCUUAGUGGAUAGGGCAUUCGGCUCAUGAUCGUAAGGUCGUGAGUUCAAUUCUCAGCA